CCCAAAACCAAAGCUAAAAAAUCUAUUCGCCACCUACAUUCGAGUAGGAGAACUUUGGUGCAAGGUUACGUUUACGUUUUUGCGCGAUAAGUGCAAAGGGGAGUGAAAACUAUUCUAAGAUUUUUUAAAGAAAAUUGAUCUUUUGGAAUAAAAUAAAGUUAAAAUAAAGGUAAGAAAUAAAAAGUUCUAUCGACUGACUUUUUGAUUUUUUUGCUAAGUUGCCUUUUUCAUUGAAAAUUCUGAGAUCCGGAUUGAAAACGCGUGAAUGAGGUUAGAUUGCUAAUUUUGAAAAUCAAUCCAAUUAUCAUUUUUCAAGCAGAUCUUUGCUUUUAUGGUAGAAGUGACUUUAAAAAAUAAUUGUCCACUUGAAUAAUCUACAUUCUCAAUUGAUUAGUUAUGUUUUGGUUGAUUAAAACAUUCCCUUAUUUUGAAUCAGAUAAUGAACAGGUUAAAUCGACCAUCACAAAAAUAUUUUCGUUUAUAUCAAUUAAGCUAUUUAUUUCUUACCUGAAAAUGGUAUAAUUUGCUAUUAAUGUCGAUUUUAUGAUGAAAUAAAACAAUUUGAAAUUUCAAACCAAUUUACUCGCUGUAGCCCGGUCACGAGAUUUUCUGGCAGAAAUAGUUCUGCUAGAAUCCUGCUAGAAUGAUUCUAGCAGGCAUGUAAGAAUUUUGUUAGAAAUUUACUAGAAUAUUCUAGCAGAGCGAAAUCUGAAAGAAUUCUGCUAGAAUUUAACUGGAAUGUUCUGACAAGACAUUUUUUCGCCAUCCUGGUGGUGGCGAACAAAAUUUUCGCCAAAACCGCGUGUUUACCGGCGAUUUUUCUUUCUUUCUGAAAUCUGGGAAGAGGAAGGUGUUCUCGCGAUUCUGAUAUCUUCAAAGAUGGUUGAAAUCCAUGGAUUCACCGCAGAUCAUGCACAAAAACAAAAAUGCGGUCGUUUGCCUCGAUUAUGUCGCAAGCAUCGCAGGCGAAUGUCGGUCGAUUCCCUUGCCGAUGCAUGGCCACGCAAUCGGAACCGAUGGAAGCCAGUAGUGAACAUUCAAGGAAGAUUCGUCGCAUCGCACUUAAGGAAAAUACCGGGAUUUGUACUGUGUAUUUUGUGAAGUGAUAUGAGUGAUAACAAAAAACGAUGUUGAAUAAAUAUACAUUUACCAAGAUAAUUACUGAA